GAUCUUAACAUGGUAACCGUAUAUCUUUAAAUAUUGUUGAUUAAUGCUUAGGAAUCUGCCUAUUAGUGGGGGACAACAUUUCGAAAGGAAUGCUAAUACCGCAUACGUCCUACGGGAGAAAGCAGGGGAUCUUCGGACCUUGCGCUAAUAGAUGAGCCUAAGUCGGAUUAGCUAGUUGGUGGGGUAAAGGCCUACCAAGGCGACAAUCUGUAGCGGGUCUGAAAGGAUGAUCCGCCACACUGGGACUGAAACACGGCCCAAACUCCUACGGGAGGCAGCAGUGGGGAAUAUUGGACAAUGGGCGCAAGCCUGAUCCACCCAUGCCGCGUGUGUGAAAAAGGCCUUAUGGUUGUAAAGCACUUUAAGCGAGGAGGAGGCUACUUUAUUUAAUACCUAGAGAUAGUGGACGUUACUCGCAAAAUAAGCACCGGCUAACUCUGUGCCAGCACCCGCGGUAAUACAGAGGGUGCAAGCGUUAAUCGGAUUUACUGGGCGUAAAGCGCGCGUAGGCGGCUAAUUAAGUCAAAUGUGAAAUCCCCGAGCUUAACUUGGGAAUUGCAUUCGAUACUGGUUAGCUAGAGUGUGGGAGAGGAUGGUAAAAUUCCAGGUGUAGCGGUGAAAUGCGUAGAGAUCUGGAGGAAUACCGAUGGCGAAGGCAGCCAUCUGGCCUAACACUGACGCUGAGGUGCGAAAAGCAUGGGGAGCAAACAGGAUUAGAUACCCCUGGUAGUCCAUGCCCGUAAACGAUGUUC
rnacentral:rRNA from 1 species